CAGAACAAAACUGGGCAAUGUGCUGGACGUCAGACUAGAUGUUCAUGAUGGUCCUUUCUGGCCUUUGACUCUAUGAGAAUUCUGACCCGUCACACGUCUGGUUUGUUUCUCUUAGUUCACUUGAGUUCUGCUGGCAAUGAAAGUCUGACUGACUGCCAGAAAUCCCUCCUUCCAACUAGAAAGCUGGUUUGGGAAGUGUUCGCUGCAGGAGUUGGGAGUCUGUAUGGCAGGAAUGGCCCCGUUAGGAUCAGGCCAGACUUCAUCUGCCUGGGGGAAGAAACAAGCUAGGGGCUCAAUCCUGCAAGGCCUAAUUUCAGUGGAACUACUGGGAUGAGAAGGAUCACACCCUAAUUUAACACAAAACUAUAUUUCUAUUUCCUCUUUUACACACCCGGGUAUACAUAUUGAAGCCUUGAAAACCAACUGCUUUUCCCAUUGCUGUUUCUGUUCCACCAAAUUAAUGUGAUUUCAUAGGUACAUGCUACUUCUGAGGAAUAAAUUUGUUUGUCAGUCAGAGGAGGGGCACUUGAUAAAUAUCAUGUCCUUGGUACAAUGAUUCUGAACUUUUAAAAUUCUCCUUUAAUUACAUUCCCUGGUAUGUUACAGAAAACUGAGACUUACAGAGCCAUCUUUGACUUUUUCUUUUAAGACAGCAAAGGAGAUUAAAGAAACCAGAAGCUCAGGAUUCUUUUAGGAAAGCCUGCAGGGGGACAAAAGAACAUUCAAAACGUCCAAACAUGCUGAGACAAAAUGCUAAAUGGAUUUCUCACUGUAACACCAAACACCAUGUUAAAACCAUCUGUCAAGGAGAAUACUUGUCACUUGUUGAUAUGACUUGUCCCUUCCCUCUUCUCUGUCUUAGUCUCUCUCUGUUUAGUGCUGCUGAUAAAUCCUGAAUCCUAAGAAUGAUUGUGCUUCUGCUGAGUACAACUUGCGGCCUUGAUCCCACAAGCUCUGUUCACUCGGAAUCUCCUCAGACCUGCAAGAGAUGGAGAGCCUUACUCUGAGUUUCAGUGAUAUCAGAGUCUGACAUUACAACCUUCCUGGCCACACAAUAGCAGAUUUUAAGGUAGCCAUCCUACAG